rnacentral:rRNA from 1 species
AGGGUAUAGACCCGAAACCCGGUGAUCUAGCCAUGGGCAGGUUGAAGGUUGGGUAACACUAACUGGAGGACCGAACCGACUAAUGUUGAAAAAUUAGCGGAUGACCUGUGGCUGGGGGUGAAAGGCCAAUCAAACCGGGAGAUAGCUGGUUCUCCCCGAAAGCUAUUUAGGUAGCGCCUCGUGAAUUCAUCUCCGGGGGUAGAGCACUGUUUCGGCUAGGGGGCCAUCCCGGCUUACCAACCCGAUGCAAACUGCGAAUACCGGAGAAUGUUAUCACGGGAGACACACGGCGGGUGCUAACGUCCGUCGUGAAGAGGGAAACAACCCAGACCGCCAGCUAAGGUCCCAAAGUCAUGGUUAAGUGGGAAACGAUGUGGGAAGGCCCAGACAGCCAGGAUGUUGGCUUAGAAGCAGCCAUCAUUUAAAGAAAGCGUAAUAGCUCACUGGUCGAGUCGGCCUGCGCGGAAGAUGUAACGGGGCUAAACCAUGCACCGAAGCUGCGGCAGCGACACUCAGGUGUUGUUGGGUAGGGGAGCGUUCUGUAAGCCUGUGAAGGUGUGCUGUGAGGCAUGCUGGAGGUAUCAGAAGUGCGAAUGCUGACAUAAGUAACGAUAAAGCGGGUGAAAAGCCCGCUCGCCGGAAGACCAAGGGUUCCUGUCCAACGUUAAUCGGGGCAGGGUGAGUCGACCCCUAAGGCGAGGCCGAAAGGCGUAGUCGAUGGGAAACGGGUUAAUAUUCCCGUACUUGGUGUUACUGCGAAGGGGGGACGGAGAAGGCUAUGUUGGCCGGGCGACGGUUGUCCCGGUUUAAGCGUGUAGGUGUGUGUUCCAGGUAAAUCCGGUU